UACGUAGGCAGCAAGCGUUGUUCGGAAUUACUGGGCGUAAAGAGUGUGUAGGCGGUGCUCUAAGUUCGGUGUGAAAUCUCCUGGCUCAACUGGGAGGGUGCGCCGGAAACUGGGGUGCUGGAGCGCGGGAGAGGAAGCGGAAUUCCUGGUGUAGCGGUGAAAUGCGUAGAUAUCAGGAGGAACACCGGCGGUGUAGACGGCUUUCUGGACCGUAGCUGACGCUGAGACACGAAAGCGUGGGUAGCAAACAGG
rnacentral:rRNA from 1 species